rnacentral:lncRNA from 1 species
GGGAUUUGGUAUCUGGUAAGAAGGCUCUUCUCCAAUUCAGUAGUUUCAUUAGGUUCAAAUUCUACAAUAGUCUUAGAAGUAGAAUCCCAACGCUUAGCUGUAGUUAGUAGCUGUUGCCGUGCAUGCAUCAGGUAUUCAAGAUCUUCAGUUGAAGCAGCAUCAAUCAUUACUCGUUGCAUGAGGACUGGUUCCAAUCCAAAAUCAAACACAACAGUUUGGCGAAAAGUUCCAAAGAUUUCUGUGUUAAAAGCUAUACUGACUUUGUAUAUAUAGUGAUCUAUUCCAUUCUGGACCAUCUUUCCUCCUAUCCACUCCUGACAGUUUUCUGGAACUUCUUGUGAUACCUGGGUAGUGCUGUCUCCAGCAGAUAUUGCAAUGAUACUGAAAUGUGGACGAUGGGCAUCAUAAAGCAAUGCCACUCGAUACAGCAUUCUUGCAGGCUUACAGGUGAGAGCAAACGUCCAAGUUUGAUGAGACUUCUUGGUGGUGACAGUUACUGAUAGCUCAGGAUUAUGUUCUACUCUCACUCCUUCUAUACUUUCACUAAGCACUUUCUCAGGAGAUAACGAAUUCAUCCAUUUCUCAAUCAAGGUUUCCAUAUAACUGCCCGAACAUUGUUUGUUUUCCUUCUGCUGUUUUAAUCUGAUCAAGCGGGAAGCAUAUCGUUUUUGCCAUUCUGUUAGCUCUUCCUGGGAAUGUGCUGAAGUACACUGUGCACCGUACCUGCAGAUCCCUUGCUCUAAAAAUCUUUUACAUAGUGUAUAUUCUUCACUGCUUGUGACUCCCCUGGGUGGAGGACGGAACUGCCAGCCAUCCCGGGACCCUUCUUCUAAAUCUUCUACAUGAUAUCCUGAUGGAACUUUAUCAGCUGCCUCUGUUUCAGCAAGAAGUGUUUUCAGUCGUGUCAGAUCUUUAGUUACCAUCCCGUUCAGUGAUUCACCCAUCAGUGAUUUGGAAAGAACAUUAGACACAAUUUGCAGCUUCCCUUUAAGAUGCAUGCAGCAGAGCACUGCACGGAAAGAUCCAUCUCCCUUGGCCAGCCCCUCUCCCAGCACUGUCAUUACUUUCUACGCCAUCUUGGAUCCACUUGUCAACGUCCCCACAAAGCAUUGUGGGAAAGCCCUCCCCCGCCCUCCUCCCGGCCCGGCGGGCAGCGGGGGAAGGCGGAGGGCGGCCGGGCGGGCUCGGCCGGGCCGGGGUGAGGCGGGCCGGGUUUGGUACCGAGGCUGUCCGCCGCACCUCGGGGACACGGGCUGGGGGCGGGCGGCGGGUGUGAGAGCUGUGGCCGCGGCUCUGCCCUCCCUUCUGACCGCUGUGCGAGGGGGCACGGCCGGGCGGAUGGGGGCCGGCAGGCGCUUUCUUCUAUUUUUUGGGGGGUUGUUUUUCUUGUUUUGGUUUGUUUUCUGGCCGGGGUUGGGAGCGUUGUUUUUGCCCCCUCCCGUUUCCCGGGAAUCGUGUCGCUGCCUCCACACGCUCGCAGCAGAGCUGCCAAGGCCGACAGGUCCCGGCGGGGCGGCCCUCAGGUGCCCGCCUGCGCGCGGAGAGCUGCGCGCCCGCCCGGCGGAGCCCCCCGAGCCGAGCAGGUUGGGCCUUCCCUUCUCUUUCCUUUGUUUGUUUACAGCUAUCGCUCUUAAACGUGUGAAAAACUGGAUCCCUGCGGAAGGGCUGCGGUUUAGAUGACGGAACACCUCACGCGUUUGAGAAACUCCAUCUCGUUUUGCUGAAGGACCGCCGGUAACGCGUUGCUGGCUGGGCACGAAUCCCAAAAACUGCUUUGCAAAACACGUUUGGCCAUCGGUGCUUUCAAUGCCGAGGCUGGUUUGCAACGUUUUUUUCUGGCCCCGCACAGCUCUGUUCUCCUCCUGAGCUGUGAUGGGAGAGCGGUUGCUCCAGCACCUUCCUUAUGUUUAUCAGCAGGAUUCCAGUUGUUGUUUGUUGGUUGUUGUUUUUUUGUUUUUUUUUUAACUUUUCUACUUUAAUUAAAGUAAUUGUAAGAUUUACAUCAUGUGAGUAUUGGAUUUUCCUAAAUACAUUUAUAUUUAAAUCUGUGCUUAACGCCUCCUAACUCUUUGAAGAGUAACCACCAGCUGAGUCUGUGAUGCACUGCCACUGCAAGAAGGUCUGAAAACUACAGCUUCUUGCUGGAAAUUCAGAUGGCUCAACCUCCUGAAGAAUGUAACUGCAAGGAAGCCCUGAACACAAGGAGACUCAGCAUAAACAGAUUUCACCUACGCAGCUAGUGUAAGAGAUGCCUUUGGCCUGAGAAUUGCUUAUUAGAAAGAGCACUUACUUAUACUUCGGGAUUUCUUCUAGCUUUUUGUCACUACUAAUUCUGUGCACCAAAUCAGAUUGUUCGUUGUCAUAAGGUGAAAGAAUAACAUAAAGAACAACGCUCUUCAGUGCCUGUGAUAAGAAAGAGUGGGUUUUUUUUCCAUAACUAAACAGAAGCAUUGAAAACUACUUCACAGAGCUUAGAAUUUAACACAUAAAAUGGUUAUGUCAAACAUAUUAAGAAAGUAAGGUGAAAUUGAUGUUGCAGAAAUGAACCUCCCUUCAUAGCAAUACAUUUAAAUUGAUACAGGUUAACUAAAAUUCCAAAUUUCAAAGAUUUUUUUUUUUUACUUAAAUGUAUAACAUUCCCAUUUCAUAUACAACAGUAUAAGGACUUGCAGAGCUGUUUCUAAUUUGUGCACUUCCACAAAACCAAAAAGAUAUUCUCAAGAUUUUAAAGACAGUAAAAGAAAUUGGGUAUAAAUAUUCUUUUGACAUCAACUUUAUUACACCCAUUCUCAACUAACCAAUUUGUUAAUAUGAUCUGGUAUUUGAAAGUAACAAGAAUAGACUUAAGAGCAACUUAAUCUAUUGUAAAUUGAUCUGGUAAUGACAUGGCUGAAUAGGUAUUUGCCAUGUGAAAAUACAGACAUUUUGUUUGCUGUCUGGUUCUUUUGUUGUUGUUUUUACCUGCUGCCACUUUUCACUCUC